rnacentral:rRNA from 1 species
GAGGAAUAUUGGACAAUGGGCGAAAGCCUGAUCAAGCCAUGCCGCGUGUGUGAAGAAGGUCUUCGGAUUGUAAAGCACUUUAAGUUGGGAGGAAGGGCUGCAAGUUAAUACCUUGUAGUUUUGACGUUACCAACAGAAUAAGCACCGGCUAACUACGUGCCAGCAGCCGCGGUAAUACGUAGGUGGCAAGCGUUGUCCGGAAUUAUUGGGCGUAAAGCGCGCGCAGGUGGUUUCUUAAGUCUGAUGUGAAAGCCCACGGCUUAACCGUGGAGGGUCAUUGGAAACUGGGGGACUUGAGUGCAGAAGAGGAAAGUGGAAUUCCAAGUGAAGCGGUGAAAUGCGUAGAGAUUUGGAGGAACACCAGUGGCGAAGGCGACUUUCUGGUCUGCAACUGACGCUGAGGCGCGAAAGCAUGGGGAGCAAACA